UGCCUACGGGGGGCAGCAGUGGGGAAUAUUGGGCAAUGGGCGCAAGCCUGACCCAGCAACGCCGCGUGAAGGAAGAAGGCCCUCGGGUUGUAAACUUCUUUUAUUCGGGACGAAACAAAUGACGGUACCGAAUGAAUAAGCCACGGCUAACUACGUGCCAGCAGCCGCGGUAAUACGUAGGUGGCAAGCGUUGUCCGGAUUUACUGGGUGUAAAGGGCGUGUAGCCGGGUUGACAAGUCAGAUGUGAAAUCCUGCGGCUUAACCGCAGAACUGCAUUUGAAACUGUUGAUCUUGAGUACUGGAGA
rnacentral:rRNA from 1 species